UACGUAGGUCGCAAGCGUUGUCCGGAUUUACUGGGCGUAAAGAGCGCGCAGGCGGCUGGUCAAGUCCGAUGUGGAAUCUCCCGGCUCAACUGGGAAACUGCAUCGGAAACUGUUCGGCUUGAAGAUGGGAGAGGGUAGUGGAAUUCCCGGUGUAGUGGUGAAAUGCGUAGAUAUCGGGAGGAACACCAGUGGCGAAGGCGACUACCUGGCCCAUUCUUGACGCUGAGGCGCGAAAGCUAGGGGAGCGAACGGG
rnacentral:rRNA from 1 species